rnacentral:rRNA from 1 species
AUUGAACGCUGGCGGCAGGCCUAACACAUGCAAGUCGAGCGGAAGAAGGGAGCUUGCUCCUGGAUUCAGCGGCGGACGGGUGAGUAAUGCCUAGGAAUCUGCCUGGUAGUGGGGGAUAACGUCCGGACACGGGCGCUAAUACCGCAUACGUCCUGAGGGAGAAAGUGGGGGAUCUUCGGACCUCACGCUAUCAGAUGAGCCUAGGUCGGAUUAGCUAGUUGGUGGGGUAAAGGCCUACCAAGGCGACGAUCCGUAGCUGGUCUGAGAGGAUGAUCAGUCACACUGGAACUGAGACACGGUCCAGACUCCUACGGGAGGCAGCAGUGGGGAAUAUUGGACAAUGGGCGAAAGCCUGAUCCAGCCAUGCCGCGUGUGUGAAGAAGGUCUUCGGAUUGUAAAGCACUUUAAGUUGGGAGGAAGGGCAGUAAGUUAAUACCUUGCUGUUUUGACGUUACCAACAGAAUAAGCACCGGCUAACUUCGUG